rnacentral:rRNA from 1 species
GGAGGAAAGUAGGGGAUCGCAAGGCCUUGCGCGGACGGAGCGGCCGAUGGCAGAUUAGGUAGUUGGUGGGAUAAAAGCUUACCAAGCCGACGAUCUGUAGCUGGUCUGAGAGGACGACCAGCCACACUGGGACUGAGACACGGCCCAGACUCCUACGGGAGGCAGCAGUGGGGAAUUUUGGACAAUGGGGGAAACCCUGAUCCAGCCAUGCCGCGUGAGUGAAGAAGGCCUUCGGGUUGUAAAGCUCUUUCAGCCGGAACGAAGAGGUUACGGUUAAUACCCGUGACUAAUGACGGUACCGGAAGAAGAAGCACCGGCUAACUACGUGCCAGCAGCCGCGGUAAUACGUAGGGUGCGAGCGUUAAUCGGAAUUACUGGGCGUAAAGCGUGCGCAGGCGGUUUUGUAAGUCAGAUGUGAAAUCCC